rnacentral:rRNA from 1 species
ACGGGAGGCAGCAGUGAGGAAUAUUGGUCAAUGGAGGCAACUCUGAACCAGCCAUCUCGCGUGAAGGAAUACGGCCCUAUGGGUCUUAAACUUCUUUUAUAGGGGGAUAAAGUGAGAUACGCGUAUCUUAUUGUAGGUACCCUAUGAAUAAGCAUCGGCUAACUCCGUGCCAGCAGCCGCGGUAAUACGGAGGAUGCGAGCGUUAUCCGGAUUUAUUGGGUUUAAAGGGUGCGCAGGCGGACCUUUAAGUCAGCGGUGAAAUCCCGUAGCUCAACUACGGAACUGCCGUUGAUACUGGAGGCCUUGAGUCGUGUCGAGGAUGGCGGAAUGCAGCGUGUAGCGGUGAAAUGCUUAGAUAUGCUGCAGAACUCCGAUUGCGAAGGCAGCUGUCCAGAGACGAACUGACGCUGAGGCACGAAAGCAUGGGUAUCAAACAGGAUUAGAUACCCUGGUA